rnacentral:misc_RNA from 1 species
ACCAUGAGCCAUUUUUCAAAUCUAGGGUUUCUCUCUUUCACCAGAAGCUUCUCAAGCUUUUCUCCAAUGGCGGCGAAGAAGACAAUCCGAAAUCCAGAGCUAAUCCGUGGCGUCGGAAAGUUCUCACGUUCCAAAAUGUACCAUAAGAAGGGUUUAUGGGCAAUUAAGAAGAAAAACGGCGGUAAAUUACCUCUCCACGAGAAAAAACCCGCCGUCGCCGUUGCUGCUGUAAAGCCACCAAAAUUCUACCCUGCUGAUGACGUGAAAAAGCCUCUUGUUAACAAACACAAGCCAAAGCCUACAAAGCUUAGGGCAAGUAUUACACCUGGAACAGUGUUGAUUAUCCUUGCUGGUAGGUUUAAGGGAAAGAGAGUUGUGUUUUUGAAGCAGCUUACUUCUGGAUUGCUUCUUGUUACUGGUCCGUUUAAGCUUAAUGGAGUUCCAUUGAGACGUGUGAAUCAAGCUUAUGUUAUUGGUACCUCAACAAAGGUUGAUGUUUCUGGAGUGAAUGUGGAGAAGAUUGAUGAUAAGUAUUUUGCUAAGCAG